rnacentral:rRNA from 1 species
CCCUACGGGGCGCAGCAGUGAGGAAUAUUGGUCAAUGGGCGGGAGCCUGAACCAGCCAAGUCGCGUGAGGGAAGACGGUCCUAUGGAUUGUAAACCUCUUUAGGCGGGGAGCAAUGCCGGGCACGCGUGUCCGGAGGGAGAGUACCCGCAGAAUAAGCAUCGGCUAACUCCGUGCCAGCAGCCGCGGUAAUACGGAGGAUGCGAGCGUUAUCCGGAUUUAUUGGGUUUAAAGGGUGCGUAGGUGGUUAAUUAAGUCAGCGGUGAAAGUUUGUGGCUCAACCAUAAAAUUGCCUUUGAAACUGGUU